rnacentral:rRNA from 1 species
UGGUCAAGUUAUUAAGGGUGCAGGGCGGAUGCCUUGGCACUAGGAGCCGAUGAAGGACGUGAUAAGCUGCGAUAAGCUUCGGGGAGUUGCACGUAAACUUUGAUCCGAAGAUUUCCGAAUGAGGAAACUCACUUAGAGUAAUGUCUAAGUAUCAUUAAGUAAAUACAUAGCUUAAUGAGGGGAACUCAGGGAACUGAAACAUCUAAGUACCUGAAGGAAGAGAAAGAAAUUCGAUUCCGUAAGUAGCGGCGAGCGAACGCGGAUUAGCCCAAACCAAUAAAGUUUUCUUUAUCGGGGUUGCGGACAUAUCAUAACGAAGAGGUAUCGUAAUUGAAGAGGUUUGGAAAGACCCACCACAGAAGGUAAUAGUCCUGUAUGUUAAACGAGAAGACUUCAGAUAUGAUCCAGAGUACCACGGGACACGUGAAACCCUGUGGGAAGCAGGAGGGACCACCCUCCAAGGCUAAAUACUACCUAGUGACCGAUAGCGUAUAGUACCGUGAGGGAAAGGUGAAAAGAACCCCGGGAGGGGAGUGAAAUAGAACCUGAAACCCUGCACUUACAAGCUGUGGAAGCACAUUUCUUGUGUGACCGCGUACUUUUUGUAGAACGGGCCAACGAGUUACGUUAAGUAGCAAGGUUAAGCACUUAAGGUGUGGAGCCGUAGCGAAAGCGAGUUUUAACUGAGCGUUUAGUUACUUGACGUAGACCCGAAACCGGGCGACCUACCCAUGAGCAGGAUGAAGCGAAAGUAAAAUUUCGUGGAGGUCCGAACCCACGAGCGUUGAAAAGCUCGGGGAUGACUUGUGGGUAGCGGUGAAAUUCCAAUCGAGCCCGGAGAUAGCUGGUUCUCCCCGAAAUAGCUUUAGGGCUAGCCUCAAGGUGAGAGAUACGGAGGUAGAGCACUGAAUGUCCUAGGGG